rnacentral:rRNA from 1 species
UCUUGGUCAUUUAGAGGAAGUAAAAGUCGUAACAAGGUCUCCGUUGGUGAACCAGCGGAGGGAUC